rnacentral:rRNA from 1 species
UGRAACUUAAGCAUAUCAAUAAGCGGAGRAAAGAAACUAACMAGGAUUCCCCUAGUAACGGCGAGUGAAGCGGGAAGAGCUCAAAUUUGAAAGCUGGCGUCUUCGACGUCCGCAUUGUAAUCUCGAGAAGUGUUUUCCGUGUUGGACCAUGUACAAGUUCCCUGGAACAGGACGUCAUAGAGGGUGAGAAUCCCGUACUUGACAUGGAUGCCCAAUGCUUUGUGAUACGCUCUCCACGAGUCGAGUUGUUUGGGAAUGCASCUCAAAAUGGGGUGGUAAAUUCCAUCUAAAGCUAAAUAUUGGGGAGAGACCGAUAGCGAACAAGUACCGUGAGGGAAAGAUGAAAAGCACUUUGGAAAGAGAGUUAAACAGUACGUGAAAUUGUCGAAAGGGAAGCGCUUGAAGUCAGACAUGCUGCUGAGACUCAGCCUUGGUUUUCCUUGGUGUAUUUCUCAGUUGGCAGGCCAGCAUCAGUUUUGGCUGUUGGAUAAGGGUAGGAGGAAUGUGGCAUCCUCGGAUGUGUUAUAGCCUCUUACUGGAUACAACGGCUGGGACUGAGGAACGCAGUGUGCCUUCGGGCGGGUCUUCGGACACCUUCWCACUUAGGAUGCUGGCGUAAUGGCUUUAAGCGACCCGUCUUGAAACACGGACCAAGGAGUCUAACAUGUUUGCGAGUCUUUGGGUGGUAAACCCGCAGGCGCAAUGAAAGUGAAUGCAGGUGGGAUCCGUAAGGAGCACCAUCGACCGAACCUGAUCUCUUGUGACGGUUUUGAGUAAGAGCACAUAUGUUGGGACCCGAAAGAUGGUGAACUAUGCCUGAGUAGGGCGAAGCCAGAGGAAACUCUGGUGGAGGCUCUAGCGGUUCUGACGUGCAAAUCGAUCGUCAAACUUGGGUAUAGGGGCGAAAGACUAAUC